UGGGGAAUCUUGCACAAUGGGCGAAAGCCUGAUGCAGGCAACGCCGCGUGCGGGAAGAAGGCCCUAGGGUUGUAAACCGCUUUCAGUAGGGAAGAAAAUGACGGUACCUACAGAAGAAGGUGCGGCCAACUACGUGCCAGCAGCCGCGGUGACACGUAGGCACCAAGCGUUAUCCGGAUUUAUUGGGCGUAAAGAGCUCGUAGGCGGUUCGGUAAGUCGGGUGUGAAAACUCUGGGCUCAACCCAGAGAGGCCACCCGAUACUGCUGUGACUAGAGUGCGGUAGGGGAGCGGGGAAUUCCUGGUGUAGCGGUGAAAUGCGCAGAUAUCAGGAGGAACACCGGCGGCGAAGGCGCCGCUCUGGGCCGUAACUGACGCUGAGGAGCGAAAGCAUGGGUAGCAAACAGGAUUAGAUACCCUGGUAGUCCAUGCCGUAAACGUUGGGCACUAGGUGUGGGGUCUCAACCAACGAGAUCCGCGCCGUCGCUAACGCAUUAAGUGCCCCGCCG
rnacentral:rRNA from 1 species